rnacentral:rRNA from 1 species
UCGUUCCUACGGGGGGCAGCAGUGGGGAAUAUUGGGCAAUGGACGCAAGUCUGACCCAGCAACGCCGCGUGAAGGAAGAAGGCUUUCGGGUUGUAAACUUCUUUUAAGGGGGAAGAGCAGAAGACGGUACCCCUUGAAUAAGCCGCGGCUAACUACGUGCCAGCAGCCGCGGUAAUACGUAGGUGGCGAGCGUUAUCCGGAAUGAUUGGGCGUAAAGGGUGCGCAGGCGGUCCUGCAAGGCUGGAGUGAAACGCAUGAGCUCAACUCA